UACGGAGGGGGCUAGCGUUGUUCGGAAUUACUGGGCGUAAAGCGCACGUAGGCGGCUUUGCAAGUUAGAGGUGAAAGCCCGGGGCUCAACUCCGGAAUUGCCUUUAAAACUGCAUCGCUAGAGUUGUAGAGAGGUAAGUGGAAUUCCGAGUGUAGAGGUGAAAUUCGUAGAUAUUCGGAAGAACACCAGUGGCGAAGGCGACUUACUGGACACAUACUGACGCUGAGGUGCGAAAGCGUGGGGAGCAAACAGG
rnacentral:rRNA from 1 species